CAGUAGCCGCGGUAAUACAGAGGGUGCAAGCGUUAAUCGGAAUUACUGGGCGUAAAGCGCGCGUAGGUGGUUUGUUAAGUUGGAUGUGAAAUCCCCGGGCUCAACCUGGGAACUGCAUCCAAAACUGGCAAGCUAGAGUAUGGUAGAGGGUGGUGGAAUUUCCUGUGUAGCGGUGAAAUGCGUAGAUAUAGGAAGGAACACCAGUGGCGAAGGCGACCACCUGGACUGAUACUGACACUGAGGUGCGAAAGCGUGGGGAGCAAACAGGAUUAGAGACCCCUGUAGUCCCUGUCUCUUAUAC
rnacentral:rRNA from 1 species